UAACCUGCCCAUUGGGUUCUAAAAGGCCGCGGUAUUAUGACCGUGCAAAGGUAGCAUAAUCAUUAGUCUUUUAAUUGAAGGCUAGAAUGAAUGGUUGGACAAGAAAUAAUCUGUCUUAAAUUAAUAUAUUGAAUUUAACUUUUAAGUGAAAAGGCUUAAAUUUUCUAGAGUGACGAUAAGACCCUAUAAAACUUUAUAUUUAAAAAUAAUAAUUAGUUUUAUUUAAGAAUUUUAUUUAGAAAUAUUUUAUUGGGGUGAUAAAGAUAUAAAUUUAAAUAACUGUCUUCUUUUUUUACAAUAAUAUUUGAAUUAAUGAUCCUAAAAAGGAGUAAAAGAUCAAGUUACUUUAGGGAUAACAGCGUAAUUUUUUUUAAGAGUUCAUAUCGACAAGAAAGUUUGCGACCUCGAUGUUGAAUUAAAAAAUCUUUAUAGAGCA
rnacentral:rRNA from 1 species